rnacentral:misc_RNA from 1 species
GCAAACUUGGUCAUUUAGAGGAAGUAAAAGUUGUAACAAGGUUUCCGUAGGUGAACCUGCGGAAGGAUCAUUAACAAAUCCAAUGCUUGUGGGAUGAUGAUUAUUGUCCUGCAAAUAUUAAUCCGCUGGCCUCGCAAGGGGCUGGUUGAUGAUACGAUACAUAAAUGUGUGUAGUGUUGACAGUGUGUAAUAUUUAAUUUUAAUUAUUGACAACUUUUAACAAUGGAUCUCUAGGCUCUUGCAUCGAUGAAGAACGCAGC